UGGGGAAUUUUGGACAAUGGGCGAAAGCCUGAUCCAGCAAUGCCGCGUGCAGGAAGAAGGCCUUCGGGUUGUAAACUGCUUUUGUACGGAACGAAAAGGCUCUUUCUAAUAAAGAGGGCCCAUGACGGUACCGUAAGAAUAAGCACCGGCUAACUACGUGCCAGCAGCCGCGGUAAUACGUAGGGUGCGAGCGUUAAUCGGAAUUACUGGGCGUAAAGCGUGCGCAGGCGGUUCUAUAAGACAGAUGUGAAAUCCCCGGGCUCAACCUGGGAAUGGCAUUUGUGACUGUAGAGCUAGAGUACGGUAGAGGGGGAUGGAAUUCCGCGUGUAGCAGUGAAAUGCGUAGAUAUGCGGAGGAACACCGAUGGCGAAGGCAAUCCCCUGGACCUGUACUGACGCUCAUGCACGAAAGCGUGGGGAGCAAACAGGAUUAGAUACCCUCGUAGUCCCUGAGCGGGCUGGCAAGGCGCAU
rnacentral:rRNA from 1 species